GAACCAGAUGUGGACAGGUUCUGGUGUUGGUUGAACCACAUGUGGACAGGUUCUGGUGUUGGUUGAACCACAUGUGGACAGGUUCUGGUGUUGGUUGAACCACAUGUGGACAGGUUCUGGUGUCAGUUAAACCAGAUGUGGACAGUUUCUGGUGUUGGAUGUGUGGUGGCAAAAGCAGAAACACUGACAGUUGAACCAGAUGUGGACAGGUUCUUGUGUUGGUUGAACCAGAAGUGGACAGGUUCUGGUGUUGGUUGAACCAGAUGUGGACAGGUUCUGGUGUUGGUUGAACCCAAUAUGGACAAGUUCUGGUGUUGGUUGAACCAGAUGUGAAAAGGUUCUUGUGUUGGUUGAACCAGAUGUGAACCUGUUCUGGUGUUGGUUGAACCAGAUGUGGACAAGUUCUGGUGUUGCUUGGACCAGAUGUGGACAGGUUCUAGUGUUGCUUGAACCAGAUGUGGACAGGUUUUGGUUGAACCAGAUGUGGACAGGUUCUGGUGUUGGUUGAACCAGAUGUGGACAUGUUCUGGUGUUGGUUGAACCAGAUGUGGACAAAUUCUGAUGUUGGUUGAACCAGAUGUGGGCAGGUUCUGGUGUUGGUUGAACCACAUGUGGACAGGUUCUGGUGUUGGUUGAACCACAUGUGGACAGGUUCUGGUGUUGGUUGAACCACAUGUG